GAGUUUGAUCCUGGCUCAGGAUGAACGCUGGCGGCAUGGCUAAGACAUGCAAGUCGAACGGACUAUUUUGAAGAGUAAUCGGAUUUAUAGUUAGUGGCGAAAGGGUGAGGAAUAGGUAGGUAACGUACCUCGGGCUCCGGAAUAGCUCAUCGAAAGGUGGGGUAAUGCCGGAUGAUGUCAUCUGUUAAAUUCAGAUGACCAAAGAUUUAUCGGCCCCUGAGCGGCCUAUCUCCUAUCAGCUUGUUGGUGAGGUAACGGCUCACCAAGGCGACGACGGGUAGCGGGACUGAGAGGUUGACCCGCCACAUCGGAACUGAGACACUGUCCGGACCUCCACGGAGGGCUGCAGUAACGAAUAUUGGGCAAUGGGCGAAAGCCUGACCCAGCAAUGCCGCGUGUAGGAUGAAGCUUUUCGGAGUGUAAACUACUUUCAGGGAUUAGAAAGCUACGGUUGAUCAAUCCCAGAAGAAGUCACGGCUAACUUCGUGCCAGCAGCCGCGGUAAUACGAAGGUGGCAAGCGUUAUUCGAAAUCACUGGGCUUAAAGGGCGCGUAGGCGGAUAUGUAAGUGUUAGGUGAAAUCCCUCGGCUUAACCGAGGAAUUGUCUAGCAAACUGCAUAUCUUGAGUCAAGUAGGGGUGUGUGGAACUCUUGGUGGAGCGGUGGAAUGCGUAGAUAUCAAGAGGAACGCCGAAGGUGAAGACAGCACACUGGACUUGUACUGACGCUGAGGCGCGAAAGCGUGGGGAGCGAACAGGAUUAGAUACCCUGGUAGUCCACGCCGUAAACGAUGUCUACUAGGUUGCGGGGGUUCUGACACCGUCGCAGUCGUAGCAAAAGUGUUAAGUAGACCGCCUGGGGAGUACGGUCGCAAGGCUAAAACUCAAAGGAAUUGACGGGGGCUCACACAAGCGGUGGAGCAUGUGGAUUAAUUCGAAGCAACGCGCAGAACCUUACCUGGGUUUGACAUGUAUGGAUGCCUAUCCGGAAACGGAGUCGGCUGCCCUCGGGUGAAACUUACACAGGUGCUGCAUGGCUGUCGUCAGCUCGUGUCGUGAGAUGUCGGGUUAAGUCCUUUAACGAGCGAAACCCUUACCGUUAGUUGCCAGCGCGUUAUGGCGGGGACUCUAGCGGGACUGCCGGUGUUAAACCGGAGGAAGGUGGGGAUGACGUCAAGUCCUCAUGGCCUUUAUAUCCAGGGCUUCACACGUGCUACA
rnacentral:rRNA from 1 species